CCUGUCAGAGAUGUUUUGCAUGGUAAAUAUAGAUGUGCACACCUAAUUGCUUGCUUAGAGUCAUACAGAAGAGCACAUUAGCCACGGUUAUAAUGCACUUAGCCAAGUAAGCGGGUGAGAAAUACACACCCUGAGGGGAUUUGGGAGAAUUGGAUGGGUGAAGGUUGUGCCCACAAAGAGUACAAUUGGGUUGGUUUGUAUUUUAUGUGGGCCAACAGUGAACUGUUGUCAGUGCAUUUAUUGCUUUGCAGAAUGUAAAGUCACAGAUUCACAUAGAGCACCUUCAACAGGCAGUUCUCAUACUGCAGUGCAGGGCAGCUCAUUCUUGCCUUUAAUCAGAGCCCCAAAAUAUUUGGUGUAUUUUCUUAAGUUUCUGCUUGCGAAGCUAUGUGUCACCCCCAAACCUAAACUGUUCAAGCCCCAUCACACAGGAUUCCAGAACCUUCUGGUCUGUAAAUUCCUGUGAUUUCUGUAAAUUGCUGGCCUAAGAUUUUCACUGCUGGCCAUCGGUAGUACUGCUCACAUUUUCUUCACAAAACUAUGAGCUGGGCCACAUGGCUAGCCCCAGGAGUUUCGCCUGAAAGAGACUCACCCCUCAUUUGCACAACCCAGCUGAGAGCCCUUCGUUUUGCCCUAUGUCCGUCUGAUAAAUGUUACUGGGCACAAGGGCAGCAGCGUGGUCAGGGCUCCCAGAAAUCACUGCUGUAGGAAAAGAAAAAUCCUACCAGCAGUGCACAGCCUCGCAGAAUGAAUGCAGAGCUGUGAGGCAAACAGUCAUUUCUUUAUGACUCACUGACGGUCUCUGACCUUGAGGAAGUCACUUGACCUCUUUUUGCUUCUCUCAGCCCAUUUGAAAAAUAAAGAACAGGGACCACGAUCCAGUCCUGGUGGUGCAUUCAACCGAGUUUUCCCAAGUCAGUGGUUUGUAUUCUUUGAAAAUAAAGAUGAAUGUAGGAACAAUGCCUGCAGAAAAACAAGCUGGCCAAAUACCGCUCGUGUCCCAGUCUCCUUUCCACUCAUAUAACAUCUCGUGCGUAGUUGAAGCUAAAAUGUCUUUUGAACCACAAGUAGGUAGAGAGCAUCUACCUGCUACAAAUGCAACCACUGUCUCCAUUAAAUGCAACAAUAAUUUAUUCCAGUGUUACAGCCCGAAGGUUUCAGAAGAUCUGCCCAAAAGGAUCUCUGCAGAGAGGUGUAAGUCCCAGUCCUUCCAAAGCAGCAAAAUGCACAAACAUGCAGAAAUACUGGAGCUAAUCUUGGCAGGAAAAGCAGAAUCAGAGACAGAAUGAAGGACGAGGAGUGAUACUGGGAGAUGUGAAUGUUCCAUUCCGCCUCUCUGUGCUGACCAGUUGUAUUAGCUUCAUCAAACUUUCUUUGAACCUCAGUGUAUACAUCUGCAUUGAUGACCUCCUGGGAGUGCUGGAAGGCUUUGUUAUUUACAUGAAUGUCAAUUAAAUGUAAUGUGUUCAUCUCCA